UGGGGAAUAUUGGACAAUGGGCGCAAGCCUGAUCCAGCAAUGCCGCGUGAAUGAUGAAGGCCUUAGGGUUGUAAAAUUCUUUCGAUAGGGAAGAGAAUGACGGUACCUAUAUAAGAAGCUCCGGCUAACUCCGUGCCAGCAGCCGCGGUAAUACGGAGGGAGCUAGCGUUUUUCGGAAUUACUGGGCGUAAAGAGCAUGUAGGCGGCUUAUUAAGUUGAAAGUGAAAGCCCAGGGCUUAACCCUGGAACUGCUUUCAAAACUGAUAAGCUAGAGGAUGAUAGGGGACAGUGGAAUUCCUAGUGUAGAGGUGAAAUUCUUAGAUAUUAGGAGGAACACCGGUGGCGAAGGCGACUGUCUGGAUCAUUACUGACGCUGAGAUGCGAA
rnacentral:rRNA from 1 species